rnacentral:rRNA from 1 species
UGGGGAAUAUUGGACAAUGGGCGCAAGCCUGAUCCAGCCAUGCCGCGUGGGUGAAGAAGGCCUUCGGGUUGUAAAGCCCUUUUGUUGGGGAAGAAAUCGUACGGGUGAAUAUCCCGUGCGGAUGACGGUACCCAAAGAAUAAGCACCGGCUAACUUCGUGCCAGCAGCCGCGGUAAUACGAAGGGUGCAAGCGUUACUCGGAAUUACUGGGCGUAAAGCGUGCGUAGGCGGUCUGUUAAGUCCGUUGUGAAAGCCCUGGGCUCAACCUGGGAAUUGCAGUGGAUACUGGCAGGCUAGAGUACGGUAGAGGAUGGUGGAAUUCCCGGUGUAGCGGUGAAAUGCGUAGAGAUCGGGAGGAACACCCGUGGCGAAGGCGGCCAUCUGGACCAGUACUGACGCU